CUGCUCGUUGGGGUUGGGGUUGGCGUCGGGGUACUUGGUGAGGUCGAAGGUCAGCACCUUGCUGAUGACGCAGUCGCCUUGCUGGGGAGGCAGGUGGGGGUAAAUCACCGGCCCCAGCCCCCUGGGGUAUUUACCAGCCCCCCGGGGUAUUUACCUGCCCCCUCCVGGGUAUUUACCCCAGUGCAUUAACCCCCCCCAGGCAUUUAAAGCCUCCUUCAAGAUAUUUACCCCCUUUAUGGCUCUUAACCCCCGGGGUAUCUCCCCGCGCAGGGGGUGUUUCCCCRGGCAGGGGGGUAUUUACACCAGCAGGGGGGUAUUUACCCCCGCGGGGGGUAUUUCCCCCCCCCGGGCAUGCGCCCACCUCGGGGUAGACGCCGAUGAGGCUCUGGGCCUUGGUGUAAAACUCCUCCUUGAGGGAGAUGACGAUGGCCUGGAAGUUGGCGGCCGACUGCUCCUUGAUGUAGUUGGCCACCUGCGGGGGGGGCGUCAGCACCCGGGGACGGGGACCCCCAAAACGGCCCCGAACGAUACCCCGCGACCCCCAAAACGCCCCUGCAACCCCAAAACCACCUCCGGGGACCUCAGAAACACCCCUGGGGACCCCAAAACGCCCCCAGGGACCCCAAAACUGAACCCAGGGACCCUGAAUGGCACCCCAAGACUCCAAAAACACCCCUGGGGACCCCAAAAUGGCACCCAGGGACUCCCAAGAAGCCAGGUGACACACAAUCUGCACCCAGGGACCCCGAAACUGCAGCCAUGGACCCCCAAGCCACCCCUGGGAAGCCCAAAACUGCACCCAGGGGACCCCAAAGUGGCCAGGGGACCCCAAAACUGCAGCUGGGGACCCCAAAAGGGCAUCCAAGGGACCCUGAAGCCACCUGGGGACCCUAAAACCGCAGCUGGGGAACUCAAAUUGGCACCCAGGGACCCCGAAACUGCAUCGGGGGACCCCAGAGCAGCCGAGGGACCCCACCACUGUGCCCAGAGCUGCCCAAGCUGCCUCAAGGGGCCCCUAACCCUCUCCCGGGACACCAAAACACCCCAAGGGGCCCCAAAACUGCUCCCAGGGGGCCUCAAACCUCCCCAGCGAACCUGAAACUGCUCCCAUGGAGCCCUGACCCUCC
rnacentral:lncRNA from 1 species